rnacentral:lncRNA from 1 species
AUGUCUGAGCUGCUGAGGUUGCCCCGGGCGCCUGUGGACCAUACGUUUUCUCAGAUAACUUCUCUGUCACUCCACCACCUCUCAUAUUUUUCCCUCCGCCUCUCUUCCAGCUCCAUCUCUCCUUUCGCACGUCUGACCGCCCUUGUCUCCCUCCUCCUGGUUGCUCUGGUGACACAGCCCUCAACCUGUAACCGUGACGACAGCCAGGGCGAGGAGCAGGUGGAGACCCUCUCGGUCCAGCUGUCCGUCACAGCUCAGGUCACUCCCACCCCUCUGUGGGCGGUGGUCUGGGGUCCCACGCAGCCGUUGGAGGAUGAGACCUACCACUUCCUCCCCAGCCAGGAAAGCGACCCCCGGCAGCAGCACGGGGACCAGCAGGAGGCCGGCACCGCCGCGUCGGAGGACUGGCUUUAUCCCGAGGCAAGCAUGCAGCCCGGAGAGAAGACGCCGCUGGAGUCCAAGGAGCGCGAAGGAGCGGAGGGCGGAGAGACGCAGGCGGAGGAGACGGAGCCCGAGGAAGGUGGGCAUCAGGACGCGCACCAGGGAUUUCUAAAUAAAGUUGUCCGAGAGCACACGCACACAUGCCAGGAGUCCUUCAGGGAAUUAGCUGUCACCAGGGUGAAGCUUGACACCCUGUUGUGUGCAGCGGCCUGUGUCUGUGGCGGAGAAUGCUUAAUAAAGUUCUCAUCACUCACGGGGAGGAAUUGGCCGCUGUCGAGCUGCGAGGCGAAGAAGAAGGGAAGACGUCAUCGCCGCCGAGUCCGAGUCCUGCGCAGAAAAUGUCAUGUCUCUGCUUUUGUUUCUGGAUACAGCAACACAUGGUCACAGUGUCCGAUUAGUAACGGCGUGAGUGUGUGUGUGUGUGUGUGUGUGUGUGUGUGUUACAGUGGACCCUCAGUUCUACGUCACCGUGACCAUCUCCUCAGUGCUCAUCCUGACAGCAGUCGUCAUAACAGCCAAACUCUGGUAGGAACCGUGUGUGUGUGUGUGUGUGUGUGUGUGUGUGUGUGUGUGUGUGUGUGUGUGUGUACUUUCCCUGCAUGA